rnacentral:rRNA from 1 species
AUUGAACGCUGGCGGCAGGCCUAACACAUGCAAGUCGAGCGAGCGGCGGACGGGUGAGUAAUGUAUGGGGACUGCCCGAUAGAGGGGGAUAACUACUGGAAACGGUAGCUAAUAUCGCAUACUAUAGGAUAACCCAUAUGGGAGUAGCUCGUAGGGGAGGAAAUGGCUCACCUAGGCGACGAUCCCUAGCUGGUCUGAGAGGAUGAUCAGCCACACUGGGACUGAGACACGGCCCAGACUCCUACGGAGGCCGCAGUGGGGAAUAUUGCACCAUGGGCGCAAGCCUGAUGCAGCCAUGCCGCGUGUAGGAAGAAGGCCCUAGGGUUGUAAAGUACUUUCAGUCGGGAGGCGUUACCGACAGAAGAAGCACCGGCUAACUCCGUGCCAGCCGCCGCGGUAAUUC